rnacentral:lncRNA from 1 species
UACUGGUACAAAAGCACAUAGACCAAUGGAACAGAAUAGAGAACCCAGAAAUAAGACCUCACAACUACAACCAUCUGAUCUUUAAAAACCUGCCCAAAAAAAAAAAAAAAAAAAAANNNNNNNNNNUUUUUUUUUUUUUUUUUUUUUUUUGAGGCGGAGUCUCGCUCUGUCGCCCGGACUGGAGUGCAGUGGCCGGAUCUCAGCUCACUGCAAGCUCUGCCUCCCGGGUUUACGCCAUUCUCCUGCCUCAGCCUCCCGAGUAGCUGGGACUACAGUAUGAAGAAGAGAAGACAACGACCCCAGGACAGAUCAAAGCCCACGCCGCUGCAUCCCACGUGCCCAGCGCCAUCCCACGUCCUGCCGCCGUUGCCACCACCACCGUGCCCAAGAGAAAGGCUGAAGGUGAUGCUAAAGGAGAUAGAACCAAGAUGAAGGAUGAACCACAGAGACGAUCUGCGAGAUUUUCUGCUAAGCCUGCUCCCCCAAAGCCAGAGCUCAAACCUAAAAAGUCCCCUGAAAAGAAGGCAGAGAAGGUACCCAAAAAGAAAAAGGGAAAAGCUGAGGCUGCCAAGGAGGGGAAUAACCCUGCAGAAAAUGGAGAUGCCCAAACAGAUCAGACACAGAAAGCUGAAGGUGCUGCAGAUGCCAAGUGAAGGUCCCCCAGGCUGGAGUGCAGUGUCACGAUCCCGGCUCACUGCAACCUCCACCUCCUGGGUAAGAGAAAAACCUGUUGAUCAAGCAAAUUUCACAGAGAUGGAAACUGAGAUGUGGAGAAGUUGAGCAAGUACCUUGCCCAGCGGCACACAGCUAGCAAGUGGUGGAGCGAGGAUGCUGCAGACUGGAUUCCAGAGCCCGGGUGCUGAACCACCACGCUCAAUGCCAUCCCAGUUACAGGAGGAGGUUCAAAGGCCUGGGAAGAAGAUGGACGAGGUGGAUGGGAAAGGUCUUUGGAGAAUAUGAGGUCUUGUACAGACACAAGUAAUUACUGGAAGGAGGUAAAGGUCCCAAGAGAGGUAUAAAGUGGUAUAGACCUCAGGGCAAAAUCAAGGAAGAUGUCCAGGAUGAGGCGGCGUUUGCUCCUGGGGUAGGAGUGAGGGCUGUCCAGAGUAUGUGUGGGAUGGGGGUGGGGUUUCCUCCAGCCUUUCCCCAUUGGCACGGGAUGGCUCAAUGAGUUAGUUAAUUGGCUCCUUAGCACAAGUGAAGGGACCAGGACCACAGAAAGCUUUGGGCACCUAAAGCUGGGGUCCUGACUGCAAAGAACAUGAUGGGCGGGGAGAACUGAGAGGGCACAGAAGGUUGGUAGCAGGUAGGGUGGGGGUGGCCAGACAGCUUGAGUUCAAAUCCUGGUGUUCUCCCACCCUGUAGUUAUGAGGCCACAGACAAGCUACUCCACAGCUCUCUGCCUUAAUUUCUUCAUCUGAAGAAUGGGAAUGAUAAUAAUGGUAUGUACUUCAGAGGCUUGUGUAAAUAUAACAUGCUUAUCUGUGUGAAAUGUUUACUGUGAUGCCUGGCACAGACAUUUCUCUCAUUCUAAGCCCAGGAUACCAAUUGGUACCACUAUCCAGAGAAGAAUGGGGUUAGAACAAAGCAGGCACACGUCUAUUUCAACCUACUUUCCUGGUAAACCUAAAUCUGGCAGAGAUGAAUGGCUUCAUAAAAUAACACAGACUAGCCAGCUCCUCUCCUCCAUCCUUGGUUUUGUUUUUGCCAAUCACUAGAUUUGCUUUUCAGGGAAAGAUAAGGAGAGUAGGAGACAGAGAAGGCAGAGGCCAGUGGGCUGCCAGUUCUGUGAAACCGGGCUGAUAGACUGUCAGUGGUUUCUGAGUUACCACUCUUAUUUCUGCAUCAUCCUUGUGCAGCUCUGUCGGAAUUUCUGAACUCUUGUGAAUUAGCCUCCACAGUCCCUUGUAUACUGUGGGUUUACUCUCCAUUCUUAGAGGCAGACACAUUCUUGCAGAGAAAACGCAGAUGGGGACAAAAUCCUUUCUUGAGCAGGUUAAUGGCAAAAUAGAAGGAUGACUAUCACGGGGGCAGGAGGGGAGUAAGAGGAAAGAGAAACCAGUAUGUACUGAGGCACCCCUUCAUAGGACCAGGCUUGGUGAAGAAGCUGGCAUGUUCCUGUCACACCAGCCCUGCAAGGAAAGGAUUUAACUCCAUUGUAGAGAUGUAGAAACUGGCCCAGAGCCACAGCUUGUCCAUAGAUGUGGAAAUCCCACCCAGAUCUAUUCAACACUGAGUCACCCUCUUUCUCUAUAGUACGUGAAAGGGGUAUAGGAUUAAAACAAGUGUCUUUACUCGUGCUUGAAAAAUAACAUUUUUGGGUGCACUUUAUCUGAGAAACUCCAUUGACUCAGAGCUGCAGGCUGGGUUCACCUGACUUGGAAAAAGAACGCUCCAUGGAAGGCAUGGCAAAUUCUGCUCAUAGGCCACUAUAAUGCCUAGGAAGCAAAGUGCGGGGAAAGGUCAGUCCUGCCUUGUUUCCAGGUGGAAGGCUGCAGUUUGUUGUCAUCAGCAAAUCAAUCUCCAUCAGGAUAUAGCUACUUGUAGUUAUGUUUUACUAUUGCACAUUUGCUCAGUGGCUUUCUGUCCAGGGAGGGGGAAAUAGGUCAGAAGCACACGGAACUAUUUCUGGGCCCUGGCCUUUGGGAAACCAGCCUUGUCCUGUUUACAUACCCUCUCUCCAGAUUUGCACAACCUGACCACAGAAACAUCACUCUCUAAGCCCAGGUAAACAGGCAACUGAAUAGUCUCCAGUCAGCCAAUAGCUAUUAAGAAACCAAGGGAGUCCAGAAGCCUAUACUAAGGAAUUUUGAUAAACACAGAAGAAAACAGCAGCCCAAGCCUCCUGACUUUGGGCUGCUGGAGCAAAGAUGUAUUCCCAUCUUGGGGAGGAGGCCACACAGUGCACAUUCUGAGCCCCUCUCCAGCAUGACCCUUGGAGCAGUCACCCCUUAUAGUACCCAUCCAGUUACACCACCAAACUGAGGUAGCGAGGGCAAGAGGAAGAAGGAAGUCUCUUAUUCAGCAAUGAGUCUGGAUGAAUCAGGUCUCCCUUAGAAAACAAAACUGGAGGAAGGGGACUGUGUCUGAACUUUUACAUCAUUUUCUUCAAAAAGUUGGUUGGGAGUAGAAUGUAGAAGGAUUCAGGAACAUAAUAGGGUAAAAGGUUAUGAGGAGAGGGUUUUUGUAAAGAGCCAGGCACUCUUCCAGGUCAGCUAGUGCCCAGGUAAUCAAAGUGUGUUGGCAGGGGAGAAGGAGGAUGGUAGGGAGACGGAGAUAGAGAUAUGGAGAGAGGAGACAGAUGGUAGAUGAGGCGCAUGCUUGCUGUACGGAGCCAGAAAAGGAAGUCAUCACACAUCUGAAUGUGUCAUUGCCAAGUUCCCAGAGACCAAAAAGCCUGGGUCUGCCUGUCAAACAUUGGAUUUUCUUAUGACCCUGAAGUCCCCAAAUAAACCAGCCAGCUUCCCCCA